GAACACGUCAUCUAUGUUGAGGCAUUAUAGGGCCCUGCAUUAAAUAAGGAGACAACUCAAACAGAACCACCCCCAGUGAAUAAGAAUGCAGUGGAAGAGGCAUUAAUCAAUAUGGUGAUUGAAGAUUGCCAGCCCUUCAGUUUUGUGGAGGACACAGGGUUCAGGAAGCUUAUCCAAGCUUUCGACCCUACAUAUGUUCUCCCCACCAGGCGGACUUUGAAAGCCAUGGUGGAGGAGAGGUACCAGCAGGCAGCAGGCAAAAGAGAAGGCCCAAGACCUCAUAGCA